rnacentral:rRNA from 1 species
GAUCAUGGCUCAGAUUGAACGCUGGCGGCAGGCCUAACACAUGCAAGUCGAGCGGAUGAAGAGAGCUUGCUCUCUGAUUCAGCGGCGGACGGGUGAGUAAUGCCUAGGAAUCUGCCUGAUAGUGGGGGACAACGUUUCGAAAGGAACGCUAAUACCGCAUACGUCCUACGGGAGAAAGCAGGGGACCUUCGGGCCUUGCGCUAUCAGAUGAGCCUAGUGUCGUAUUAG